CACGUCUGUGCAACUCAUAAGCUAUAGGCCUAUUGUGAGCAAGUAGCAGAGUGCGAUCGGAAAGAGCGCCAGCUACGGCAGAGGACCGUCCAGAGUAGUGUUUUCUCAUGGCUUCGACUCGUUACGACGUACCUCUGGAAUCGUUGGAAAUCCUAAAUCCUGUUGAGUUAUCCGGGCGUUUUGGAUCAAUUUUUGGACAGCGUGAGUUUGAGUGAUCGCCACCUGGCCAACCUUGGGCACGUUUGGGGUGUUUCGAGCUACGGGGAGAGCUUUAUUUUCAUCCUACUUUUUCGUUGUACAUUCAUAUUUCGCGGUGCAUAUAAUACAUGGGCCCAUGACUUCGGACAUUGACUCUCUCACAUACCGGUUCACUAACCGCCAUACUUCAUCUCUCGCGUACGUCCAUAUCCGCGGAGCGAGCCUCUACGCGGUCGGUUGGCCGCUGCAACGCUUCCACCGUACCCUGGCCUGGAUUGACUGCGGAGCUGAGCCCUCUUAGACUACGCUACGGAGCUGCCGUCGGCGUAUCUUUCCUCUGCCUUAGAGCAAGUCGGGACUCAACAGCUCAGUCAGAUCAGCUAGUGGACUUGCUCGAAGCCGUCUCUGCACAAGAACCAGGUCUGAUAACCCUUUUUAUGAUGCACCAGAACCAAGAGCAUUCUACCACCCUACACUGACCAAACAUCUCACAAAGAAAACAAGAGCAAUUUCUUUAAGCCCUGAGAGAGUGAAAUCCCAUCUCAAGUCAAGUGAUGAUGUUCAGCAUAGGAGAGUGAAGGAGCUGAGUCCUGGAGAGAAAGGGUUCCUGUCUGGAUCAAACACCAUGCUUGCAAAGGAACUCCCAA